GUGAGACUGCGGACGGCUCAGUAAAUCAGUGAUAAUCUAUUUGAUUUUCUCUCCCAUUGGAUAACCGUGGGAAAUCUAGAGCUAAUACGUGCGGUACAUUGGUGUACCUUCGGGUCCACCAAAGCAUUUAUUAGACUAAACCAACUACUAUGCAUCUGCAUAGUAAGGGGAAUCUGGAUAACUUUGCUGAUCGUAUGGCCCAGUGCCGGCGACGUUUCAAUUGAGUUUCUGCCCUAUCAACUUGUUGGUAAGGUAUUGGCUUACCAAGGUUGCAACGGGUAACGGGGAAUCAGGGUUCGAUUCCGGAGAGGGAGCCUGAGAAACGGCUACCACAUCCAAGGAAGGCAACAGGCGCGCAAAUUACCCAAUCUAGACAGUAGGAGGUGGUGAAGAGAAUUACUAAAUGGUGGUCCAAUGGAUCACUUGUUUGGAAUGAACGUAACUUAAGAAAUUCGUUGAGAAACAACUGGAGGGCAAGUCCUGGUGCCAGCAGCCGCGGUAAUUCCAGCUCCAGUAGUCUGCUUUAAAGUUGUUGCGUUUAAAACGCUCGUAGUUGGAUCACGCAGUGGUGUUCAGUAAUCUAUUGUGAGGUAUCAUCAUACGUGUCCGUCACGUACGGCCGUGUGUUGGUGCCUGCAUCAGAUGACAUGCUGAAUGCCACUAGUUGCACGUGAGAUAGAUUGUUGGCCUUAAGUGAGCUGACUUUCUGGUCUUGCGGGGUGUGCCUUGAAUAAAACAGAGUGCUUAAAGCAGGUUAUCGCCUGAAUGUUAUAGCAUGGAACGAACAAUCGUGUAUAUGUGUGUGUCCUCAGUCGGUUGUGAGCCUUUGGUUUGCAGUUGUCUGGGGCGCACACGGCACCCACCAAAAUAUGGCUGUUGGUUCCGUAUCCGGUGAUGAUUAACAGGAGCGGUUGGGGGCAUCGGUAUUUGGCCGCGAGAGGUGAAAUUCUUAGACCGGCCAAGGACUAACAAAUGCAAAGGCACUUGUCUAGACCGUAUCCAUUAAUCAAGAACGAAAGUGGGAGGUUCAAAGACGAUCAGAUACCGUCAUAGUUCCCACCGUAAACUAUGCCGACCUGGGAUCAGUUUAGAGAUGUUACAAGCUCUAGAUUGGUCCCCCUGGGAAACCUGAAGUUUUUCGGUUACGGGGAGAGUAUGGUCGCAAGGCUGAAACUUAAAGGAAUUGACGGAAGGGCACCACCAGGGGUGGAGCCUGCGGCUUAAUUUGACUCAACACGGGGAAACUUACCUGGUCCGGACAUCGAUAGGAUUAACAGAUCAAUAGCUCUUUUAUGAUCCGAUGAGUGGUGGUGCAUGGCCGUUCUUAGUUCGUGGAGUGAUCUGUCAGCCUAAUUGCGGUAACGAACGAGACCACAGUCUCCAUUUGAGAGAUAGAAGCAAACGUUGUGGACGCGAUGAUCUCACGGUUAGAGUGUUUGCACGUUGCAGGAAGAGUGGCGUGCUCUGGUGAAAGUAUCGGGGCAACCUGGUGCUUUUGUCGGAGUCUGCUAUUUCUCCCUUUUAUCACACAGCAGUCGGUUUCGACUGGCUGUUGUCUCAUGGAGAGACAACGAGGUAUAAACAAGCUCGAGGAAGAGUGGCUAUAACAUGUCAGUGAUGCCCUUC
rnacentral:rRNA from 1 species